rnacentral:rRNA from 1 species
CAGGGAUUGCCNUAGUAACGGNGAGUGACAGGCAAGAGCUCAGAUUUGAAAGGCACUUUUGUGCCGUNGUAUUCUGAAGUUAGGGUCCUGAGAAAACGAUGCUUAAGUCUUCUGGAANAGGAGCGCCAUGGAGGGUGAUAGCCCCGUCUAGCAUUGACCUCAUAUAGGAUCUUAACAUGGAGUCGAGUUGUUUGGGAAUGCAGCUCAAAUGGGUGGUAUGCUCCAUCUAAAGCUAAAUAUCUGCGAGAGACCGAUAGUAAACAAGUACUGUGAGGGAAAGAUGAAAAGAACUUUGAAAAGAGAGUGAAAAAGUACGUGAAAUUGUUGAAAUGGAAGGGUAGGCCGCUAACCAUGUAGAGCCGUGUUUNGGGGGGAAGAUAAAUGCUGUAGAAUGKAGCUCCUCGGAGUAUUAUAGAUGCAGUUCAUAUUCCCACCCGAGCGCGAGGAUCUCAGGUUCUACUAAAUGGUGGUCUACCACCCGU